AGGAAGCAGAUUGGGGCGUUCUUUGGAAGCCAUGUUAAGGGUUGGCCUUCACUCUGCAGGCACUGGGCAGCAUUUAAGCAUUUCACCCAGGACGGGGACAGAUUUACGUUUGGGAAAGCUCUUUGGCCAGCUUUGUGAGAAGAUGGACUGGAUGUAGAGGUGCCCCUGCAGUGACACAGGCUUGUGAUCCAAACCUCUCAGUUUCACUAGCAUCAUGGAAGCCUGGAUGCAGGUGGAGAUGAGGUGGUCCCUGGAGUGAGAGUGACCAGCGCAGGAAAGCGUCUGAGCCAGGCAAAGAUUAUUUCAGAACCCGGAGGGAGGCUUACGUGAGGAUGAAGAAUUCCUCCCUAGAUCCUAUGCUCCAACUCAUCUCCCUAGUUCUAGCCACCUCCAGGUCACAUCAGUUCGGCUCCAAACUGGGUAUUAGACUCAGAAACGUUAUCACAGGAAGAAAUUUCCUAAGCACAAAAAUCUCUUCUGCCAUCAGCAUAUAGACUUUCGUCUAAUUAUAACAUUAAAGAUGCAAUGUUUAAAUUGUAUUUUUGUACUCAUUUAAAAGUUUAGGGAUCCCUGGGUGGCGCAGCGGUUUGGCGCCUGCCUUUGGCC